UAAGAAUAAAAUUACACUUCCAUUCCAUUCAACUAAAUAAUUUGAUUAUUAAUUACAACUCUAUUUCAUUAAAGUCCUAUUCCAUUCCUCCCAACGUGAAGGAAAUGACAACUAAACCUGGAACUACAAAUAUGAUAUGCGUGACUCAUGAUUCAUUUAACGGCGUCGGGAGCUGAGUUGUUGAAUCAGAUCAUUCAAAUCACGGAAGGAUGAACCUCCUUCUUCAACAGCUCUUUUAGCCAUUUCUCCUAGUGCCUUGGCUCUGCUUCUCAUUUCCUCUGCUUUUUCACCCACCAUUAUCUCCUUCACCGCCUUCUCUAUAGCAUCUCUUUUCACAAAAUCCCCCACCACUUCUUUCCAUUUUUUCGUUCCAACUCCCACCCCAAUCUUCAGAACAUCUGUCACCAGUUUUUCAUUGUAAAACUGCUCCGCGAACACUGGCCACGUCACCAUCGGCAAACCAGCUGAGACGCAUUCCAGGGUUGAAUUCCAUCCGCAAUGAGUCACAAAAGCUCCAACUGCUUCAUGGUCAAGAAUCAACACUUGUGGUGCCCAUCCUCUUAUCAUAAGCCCCUUGCCUUCCGUUCUCUCCUCAAACCCUUCAGGCAACCAAUCCUCUUCAUUGUUGCUCUUUUCUUUCUUCACAACCCAAAUGAAGUGCUGCCCUGUGGCUUCAAUGGCGAAAGCUAUCUCCGUUAACUGAGCAGCAUUGAAAUCGACUGCAGUUCCAAAACAUAUGUAAACCACCGAUUUGGGUUGUUUAGAAUCAAGCCAGCUUAAACAUUUUUGUUCAUCGACCGAUGGUUUCUUCCCUCUAUCUAAUUUAUCUUCAAUGGCCCUAUUGCACAGUGAAACAGGGCCAACAUGCCAUACCUUUCUUCCUAUAACGUUCCUGUAGUGAUCGACAUAAGCGGCUUCUAGCUCAUAGAAACUGUUGACGAUGAACCCAUAGCUUUUCAGCUCUGCUUCUCUCCAUUUUUUAACCGACCUGGUAAGUUCAUUUUCUUCAUUUUGUGUAAAAAUAACAGCCAUCUGAUCUCUUGUGAGUUUAAUAUCACCAGGAACGUUAGGAAACACAAAAGGUUCAGAACCUGAUUUGACUUUCUUCUGUGGCUCAUAUAGACUAACAGAAUCUGAUAUACACAACGACAAGAAACUGCCACCAUUAAACAUCAACCUGGGGAUGUCAUACUUGUCUGCAAUAUCACUGGCCCAAGUGAAAAACAUAUCGACGAGCAAGCAAUCUGGUUUACAUUCUUGUAUGAGCUGCUCAAAGGGUUGUUCAAACAUAUCUGCGGCCUUGAAGAAUUUGGCAAUCAUAUCCAAGUUGACUCCUUCGGAACUUGGGAUGGAAUCAAAGUUUUCACAGCCCUCGGGUAAUCCAGCUUCAACACAAGGAAAGUUAAGGACUUUGAGGUGGAUAUCGAAGCCUGAAUUCUUGCUUCUUUCGAUGGUGCUGGAGAUGAAAGGAACAUUGAGUGGAGUGGUGACGAUGGUUGUCUUUACACCUCUCAUAGCGAACAGCUUGGUCAUAUCAACCAUGGGUAUCAUAUGGCCGUGCCCCAUGAAAGGAAAGAACAAAACAUGAAGCUUAGGAUUCUCAGUCGCGUCAACACCCAUAUUUUUUUCCUUUUCAAUAAAAUGAUUCAGAACACAGAGAAAGGUCAGAUUGUAAGAAACUGAUGAAGAUAUCAGACAUGUGGAUGGCACUUAUGGAACUUUAGGUUCAUCAUCUUUUUCACUAAAUAAAGGGUAAACUACCCACUUUGUCCCCCAACUUUAGCUCCUUGUAAUUUAGUCGCCCAACUUUUAAAGCGAUUUCAUUUUGGUCACUAAAAAUAUCCUUUUUUAAGUAUUAAUCGAGGUAAAAAAAAUUAAGGAUUAAAAUGAAAAAAUGGUAAAACCUAAAAUAAUGCAUUAAAAAUUUUCAAAUUGUACUUGUUUAUUAUCCCAUUGUUGAAAGUUGUAAAUUUCUUUUUUUUUCAGUACUUAAAUUUUAAAUUAAAUAAAUUAAAUAAAUUAUUGAAAAAAAAUUAUCACUUGAUAAUUCAACCAAUUUGUUACUAUAAUAUUAAAAUUAAUUAAUUUAAUCUCCUUAUAAAAUUUAAUAUUUAAUAUUAUGUUUUCAUAUUAUCCUUAAUGGAAUCAACUUAAUUAACUUGAUUUUAUUUUAUGUUUACUCCGACCAAUACUUUAAAAGAUUUUUUUGUGACCAAAAUGAAAGUGAUCCGGAAGUUAGGUGACCAAAAUAAAAGUGUAAACCUGAUGUGAUAUGUACAAUCAAAUGCCAUUAAAGAUUUAACGUUUAGGAAACUAAAAUGAAAGCGUCCUGAAAAUUAGAUGACUAACUGAAUAAUUUACCCUAAAAUAAUGAUCCACUUAUGACAAAAAAAAACUUUAGAUAAUGAUCAAAUCGUUUAAAAAGUGCCUGAAAGUGAGGGAUAAACUUUUUAAAAAGAACUCAAAAUAAAGAUUUUUCAAAUAUUAUAUAUUAAGUUUCAAAUUAUAUUCUGAUUACUUUUUUUUUCUUUUCAAUCAAAUAUCUAAUUUAAGGUUUGUAAACACAUCAGUAUUUACCUAAUUUUUUUCUACAAAGAACACUAAAGUAUAUGCCCAGCCAUUCUUUAAUCACUUAUGUAAAGAUUAGUUCCUUAUUUAACAUUUACAAGGAAUCUCUAAAAUGUUAAAGGAAAUAAUUUAAACAUUUACCAAAUAAACAAACCACUAAAGAAAUCCUCGUGACCCUAAUCUGAUGACGAAGAGGGUUAGAGGUGUUACAUAUGUUUUGGCAGUUAUGCAUUGUAUUUUUUAGCUUUUCUUCUCCUAGUUAAACUCUGUUUUUAAUUUUCCACUUAAACUCUUAUUAGUGUAGGUUAUUUUAAUAUAUUUUGACCUAUAAAUUUAGCUUAUAAAUUGAACAUUUUUCCAUCCUAGAAAAAUAACCCAUUGAACAUUUAGGUAUUAACUUUUAUAAGCUUUUAGAGAAUUUUGUAUUUAUGUUUUGAAGGUUCUUAUUUCGGGUUUCGGAGUUUAGUUUUAUCUCUAUAUUUUGUAUUCUUCGUUUAUGCCAUUUUAGUGAAAUCAUCUUUGCCCGUGACUUUUUAUCCUCUUCGGAGGGUUUUUUUCACGUAAAAUAUUUGUGUUUAAUCUUUUUAAUUUUUUUGUUAUGUUACUUGUUCGUUAUUUAAACCAUGUUUAUCCCCAACAAGAUGGUAUCAGAACUAGUUCGAUUUUUGUAAUCAACCUGUUCAGAAAUGACAAUAAUAAUGUUUGAUAUUGUUAAGUUCGAUGGCAUCACAAAUUUUAAUCUGUGGCAAGUUCUGAUGAUGACAAUUCUGAUUCUGAGCGAUUUUGAGAAUGUCUUAAUAGAGAAGAAGCUUGAAGACAUGGAUAAUCAAACUAUGAUAGGUUAGAUAAAAAAAUCUCUAUUAAUGAUUCAAUUAUGUCUAACAAAUAAUUUGUUGCAGGAGGUUUUUGUUGCGGAAGCGACGAUAAUAUUAAUAACAAUAUUAUCAGAAAUAUUUAGAUAAUUAUUAUGCCAACAAUUAUACUAAGAAAAUUCCCAGUUAAAUUGGAGGGGUCACAAAUGGUCCCGCUUAAAACCCAACAACUAGACAGAACUCACUUAGAUAUUUAUAGCAAUAAUAACUAAAUAAAUAUAACCAACAUAAAGCUAUUAAAUAUAAGCAAACAAAUAAGAAAUAAAAUACCAGAGAUUUAACGAGGUUCGGCCAAUUUAGCUUACGUCCUCGGACACUACCAAAUUAAUAUUUCUUCUAGAAAUAUUACAAAGGAGAAGAUUUUGGGAUGAUACAACCAAAGGGGGAGGGGUUCUAUAUAUAACAAACCAAACCCCCUCCCUUUCUAUCUUUUCCUAAUGUGGGAUAUUGCCAAUAUUCAACAAAUCUCCACCUUGGCGAUAUUCCACAUCUUCGAACAUCUUCUCAUAACACAAACUUCAAUAGUGUCUUCAAAUUUGCGCCAACGACGCCAUAUCAAAUGUGUCGGACAUUGAUCAAGUCUAAACAAUGUUCAAACUUGGCCCUUGUAACCACCUUAGUCAGCAUAUCUGCAGGAUUCUCCGUAGUGUGAAUCUUUUGGAGAAGUAUCUCCUCUUCUUCGAGAAUUUCCCGCACAAAGUGAUAGCGAACGUCUAUGUGCUUCGUUUGUGCAUGAAAAACUUGAUUCUUUGCUAAAUGAAUAGCACUCUGACUGUCAGAAUAUACCUUAAGUUGUUUCUGACCAACUUCCAAGUCUUUAAGCAAUCCAUGAAGCCAAAUUGCUUCCUUCACAGCCUCUGUAAUUGCCAUAUACUCUGCCUCUGUUGUAGACAAAGCCACCGUGGACUGUAAGGUAGAUUUCCAACUAACUGGCGCUUUCGCUAAAGUAAACAAAUAGCCAGUUGUAGACCGUCGCUUAUCCAAAUCACCUGCAUAAUCAGAAUCACAAUAUCCAACUAUGCAUUGACCAAAUGAUUCAUCCUGCUCGAAUGCCAAUCCGACAUCUAUGGUAUUUUGGAGAUACCGCAGAAUCCAUUUCACAGCUUGCCAAUGACCCCUGCCCGGAUCAUGCAUGUACCUGCUAACAACACUAACAGCCUGUGAAAUAUCUGGUCUUGUACAUACCAUUGCAUACAUCAAGCUUCCAACUGCAUUUGCAUAUGGGACUUUUGCCAUGUACUCUCGUUCUUCCUUAGUCGUUGGAGAUAACUGGUUACUUAGUUUAAAAUGAGGAGCAACUGGGGUACUUACAGGUUUUGUACCUUCAGACAUACCGAAACGUUGUAGUACCUUCUCCAAAUACUAUUUUUGUGACAGCCAAAGUUUGCCCCUCUUUCUAUCCCGAGUUAUUUCCAUGCCGAGAAUCUUCUUAGCUUCCCCUAAAUCCUUCAUCUCAAACUCUUUACUCAACUGAGCCUUCAGUCUAUCAAUCUCCAUUUGGCUCUUUGCUGCAAUCAGCAUAUCAUCAACAUACAAGAGUAAGUAGAUGUAGGAACUAUCUUGAAGCUUGCGCAAAUACACACAAUGAUCGUAUUUGCUUCUUUUGUACUUCUGGUCCUUCAUGAACCUGUCAAAUCGUUUGUACCAUUGUCUCGGAGAUUGUUUCAAUCCGUACAACGAUUUGCUAAGUUUACACACCCAAUUUUCUUUACCAGCAACCCUGUAUCCAUCUGGCUGAGUCAUAUAGAUUUCCUCCUUCAAAUCACCGUGUAGAAACGCGGUCUUCACAUCAAGUUGAGCUAGCUCCAAAUUCAACUGCGCUACCAAGGCCAACAAAAUUCUAAUGGAGGAAUGUUUAACAACUGGAGAAAAUACCUCAUUAUAGUCAAUUCCCUCCUUCUGAGCGUAGCCUUUAGCCACUAACCUUGCCUUGUAACGAACAUCUUCUUUGUCGGGAAAUCCUUCUUUCUUUGCAAAUACCCAUUUGCAACCAAUCGCCUUCUUUCCUUUUGGUAGUUGUGCCAACUUCCACGUCUUGUUUUUCUCUAGAGAUUGCAUUUCCUCUUCCAUUGCACCUAACCAUCUAUUAUUCUCUAAACUCUGAAUGGCUUCGGUGUAAGUGGAUGGAAUAUUAUCAACAACUGGAAGUGCAUAAGCUACCAUGUCAGUGAAACGAGCUGGUUUCUGAAUUUCUCGUCUCUGCCUUCUGACUGCAAUUGGCUCUGAUUGCUGUUGAGGUUCUUGGGUAGAAACCUCUUCCUCAUCUGACUCUGCAUCUGCCAAUGAAGAAUCACUAGUGGUACCUUCUGCUGGAAUUACCACACUCUGCUCAAACUCCACCUGCUGCGGAGUACACUCCACCUGCUGCGAAGUACUACUCACUCCUUCUGGAUUUACCUUAUUCAACAUGGCAGAUUCAUCAAAGGUAACAUCCCUACUGAUUAUCGUCUUCUUUGCCUCUAGACACCACAAACGAUACCCCUUAACACCAGCAUUGAAGCCCAUGAAUAGAGCCUUCUUUGCUCUUGGAUCUAACUUUGAUUUUUUCACAUGAUAAUAUGCAAUAGAACCAAAAAUGCGCAAGGUGUCAUAAUCAGUAACAGGUUUUCCAUACCAUUUCUCCAAAGGAGUCUUGCCAUUUAUAGCAGAUGAUGGCAAAUGAUUGAUGAGAUGUUGAGCGUACGUCACAGCCUCAGUCCAAAACUUUCUAUCUAAUCCAGCAUUAGAUAACAUACAUCGAACUUUCUCCACAAGCGUUCGAUUCAUACGCUCUGCCACCCCAUUCUGUUGCGGUGUUCCACCUACGGUGAAGUGCCUUACUAUGCCACAAUCUUGGCAUAUCUUCAGGAAAGGAUCGCUUUUAUAUUCUCCACCGUUGUCUGAUCGGAGAACCUUAAUCUUCCUUCCUGUCUGAUUUUCAACUUUAGUUUUCCACUUAAGGAAAACUUCAAGCACCUCAUCUUUGUUCUUCAUAGGAAACACCCAAACUCGUCUGGAAAAAUCAUCAAUAAAGGUGACAAAAUAACGUCUUCCUCCAAGUGAUGGAGUCUUGGACGGUCCCCAUACAUCAGAAUGCACAUAAUCCAGAAUACCUUUAGUAUUGUGAAUCCCAGUGCCAAAUUUCACCCUUCGUUGUUUUCCCAGAACACAAUGCUCGCAAAAUUCAAGUUUGCAAGUCUUUGUACCUUUCAAUAAUCCUUGCUUGGCUAGAGUUUGCAAGGAUUUUUCACCAGCAUGGCCCAAACGCAUAUGCCACAGCUGUGUUGCCUCAGCGUCCUUCUUGGUACUCGUAAUUGCUGCUGUUGUUGUCCCGACCACUGUACUACCUUGGUAGUAAUACAGAUUGUUCUUUCUUAUGCCUUUCAACAUCACCAAUGCUCCUGAAGUUGCUUUAAGAACUCCAUCUCGUAUUGUCACAACUAGGCCUUUAGAUUCUAACGACCCCAAAGAGAUGAGAUUCUUCUUCAACUUUGGGACAUAUCGUACAUCCCGCAAAAUUCUAGUAGAUCCAUCAUGACUCCUCAGUUUAAUUGAACCUAUCCCGGCUAUUUUACACGUGUUAUCAUUACCCAUGUAAACAACCCCUUCAUCUAGUUUUUGAAAUUCAAAGAACCAUUCCCGAAUGGGACACAUAUGAUAGGAACAACCAGAAUCCAUGAUCCACUCAUCUGCAUAUAAUGUUGAAGAUGUCAUACUAAGAGAAAAGUCUGACUCUGCUUCACUAUUGCAUUCUGCAACAUUUGCAUCUUGCGGAGUCUUCCAUUUUUUCUUCAAUUUUGGACAAUCUUUCUUCCAAUGUCCUUUUUCUUUGCAAAAAGAACAUUCAUCUUUGGCAACAGCUCGACCUUUGGACUUUCUUCUCUUCCCCUUAGACUGACUUUGCUGACGACCUCUUGUUACCAAUGCUUCCACUGCUGCUUCACCUGAACCUUUUAACUUAUCCUUUCGGCGUAGUUCAUAGCUAUACAAUGCAGCAGUUACUUCAUUGAAAGUUACUUCCGAUUUUCCAUGAAGUAGAGUAGUUUCAAGGUACUCAAACUCCUCAGGAAGCGAUCCCAACAAUAUUAACGCCAAGUCUUCGUCUUCAAAAGUCACAUCCAAAUUCAACAAAUCAGCCACCAGCUGAUUAAAAUUGGUAAUGUGCUCGUUCAUCGUGGUACCAGGAACAUAAUUGAAACGAAACAGUCUUUUCUUCAUAUGUAACUUAUUUUGACUGUUCUUCUUCAAGAAUUUCUCCUCCAAUGCUUUCCACAAUUUACUUGCAGAAGUCUCUUUACUGAAUGUAUACUUUUGCUCUCUGGAAAGACAUGAUCGAAUUGUACCACAUGCCAAUCGGUUGAUGGUCUUCCAUUCUUUAUCAUCAACCCCUUCUGGUUUUUCUUCCUCAAUGGCAAUAUCUAGACCCUGUUGAAAGAGGGCAUCUAGAAGCUCACUUUGCCACAUGCCGAAAUGACCUGUUCCAUCAAAAAUUUCCACUACAAAUCUCGUAUUUGCAGUUCCAAUCCUCGGCAAAAUGUACGAAGUGGAAGUUGUUGAUAUGGAUGGUUUUUCUUCUGUCAUUUUUGCCAUAGCUUCUACUUAAUAGCCACCAAAUGCAGAAUACCCACAAGCUUUAGGAAAUGUUUCUGAUGUGUAAGAUCAGACUAAGCUGCAAACACAGAGCAUAUUACAAAACCUUGGCUCGGAUACCAAUUGUUGCGGAAGCGACGAUAAUAUUAAUAACAAUAUUAUCAGAAAUAUUUAGAUAAUUAUUAUGCCAACAAUUAUACUAAGAAAAUUCCCAGUUAAAUUGGAGGGGUCACAAAUGGUCCCGCUUAAAACCCAACAACUAGACAGAACUCACUUAGAUAUUUAUAGCAAUAAUAACUAAAUAAAUAUAACCAACAUAAAGCUAUUAAAUAUAAGCAAACAAAUAAGAAAUAAAAUACCAGAGAUUUAACGAGGUUCGGCCAAUUUAGCUUACGUCCUCGGACACUACCAAAUUAAUAUUUCUUCUAGAAAUAUUACAAAGGAGAAGAUUUUGGGAUGAUACAACCAAAGGGGGAGGGGUUCUAUAUAUAACAAACCAAACCCCCUCCCUUUCUAUCUUUUCCUAAUGUGGGAUAUUGCCAAUAUUCAACAGUUUUGAUAUAGAAAACAAAAUUCAUCUUAUGGAAAAUGUUAGAAACCUUCUACGCGACAAAGUCUCUAGCUAACCGAUUGGUGUUGAAACAACAUCUAUACACAUUUCACAUGGACGAAAAUGAACACCUUAGAGGUCCAAUUAAUCAAUCAAUUUAUUACUAUUUUGAAUGGUUUAAAGAAUGUUAGUGUUCAGAUUGACAAUGAAGAUCAGACUAUGUUAUUAUUGUGCUCUUUACCCUCUUCAUACAUGUCUUUCAAAAAGACUCUGAUUUAUGGCAGAGAUAAUCUCUCAUUCGGGGAUGUGAAGGGUCAUUUGUUGAGUAAAUACAAACUCGACAACGAGUUUGGUUCAGAUAGACAAACCUCAAUUUUGGUAGCAUCAAGGAAGCUAGACUAGAGAUUUCGCUAUUAUAAGAAGUUAGGUCACGUCAAGGUAGAUUGUUACAAACUGUGAAAUGAAAGGGCUACUGAGAGCAACAAGGAAGAUUUAGCUAGAGCUAAUUUGGCCAAUGACAAGGGUGAUGAUUUCUUGUUGGUGUUAACAAGUAAAAGCUCCAAGCUUGCAUCCAAGUGGAUCCUGAAUUCGGGGUGUUCUUUUCAUAUGUAUCUCAACAGGACUAGUUCUCUACAUACAGUUUAGUUGAAAGUAGAGUUGUGCACAUGGGGAAUGGUUUACCCAGUAAGGUAACUGGUAUUGGUAUUGUUCAGAUUAGGAUGCACGACGAGAUAAUUAGAACACUGUCAGAUGUCAAGCAUGUGCCUGAUAUAAAAAAAAAAUCUCAUCUCUUUGGGAAUUUUAGACUUGAAGGGCUGUAGAGUUAACAUCGAGUCAAAUGACAUUAAGGUAUCAUGUGGGGCUCUUAUUUUGAUGAAAGGUAAUAAGAUUGACAGUCUUUAUGUUCUAGAAGGAUCAUCGGUGACUGGUGAAAUAGGACAUCCCCUGUUUGUUAAGGAAUCGAAGUUGACUCGUUUGAAGUAGAGACAACUUGGUGAUAUGAGGGAAAAAGUAUGACCAUUUCAUAUAAGAGAGGUUCUCUUUUGGGUGUAGGUUUUGAAAAUAUAGGGCAUUGCGUUUGUGGAAAUCAGACAAUGGUUAGUUUUGAUUUGGCAAUGCACUAGUCUUUCAACUUCUAAGAACAAAUUCGACUCAGUUAAUAUCCUCUAUAGCUCUAGAUAAGCCAAUGGCAGACUUUGGAAAAAAAGACGUUGUGGAAAUAAGAGUCAAGGUAGAGAUUUGUGGAGUUAUACCUCGUAUUUUUCAGCUUUUCUUCUCCCAAUUAAACUCUAUUUUUAGUUUCUCACUUAAACUCUGAUUAAUGUAGGUUAUUUUAAUAUUAGUUUCCCACAUAAAUUCUAAUUAAUGUAGGUCAUUUUAAUAUUAUUUGACCUAUAAAUUUAGCUUAUAUAUAGGCUCUUUUUCCACCUUAGAAAAAAUAACUCAUUACACAUUUAGGUAUUAACUUUUACAAGCUUUCAGAGAAUUUUGUGUUUACGUUUUGAGGGUUCUUAUUUUGGGUUUCUGGGUUUAGUUUUAUCUCCAUCUUUUGUACUAUUUAUUUAUGUCAUUUUAGUGAAAUUACCUUUACCCGUGGUUUUUUGUCUUUUUCGGAUGAGUUUUUCCACGUAAAAUAUUUGUGUUCGAUAUUUUCAAUUUUUUUGUUAUUUUACUUGUUCGUUGCUUAAACUGAGUUUAUCUUUAAAGAUCUCGAAACAUUUUUCCUUUUCUCCCAAGGCAUUGUAAACCUUGCUAUGCUUUACCAACCAGGUUUCAUACAUUUCCCUUAUCUAAGCCUCGGUUCUUUGCCAUUGUUGUCCACCAUGUCUGAGAAUAUACUCAAUUAUUGACAUGUCCAACCCAGAUGAUAGGGUUAUUAGAAAGAAAAUGAAAAAGAAACUAUAAGAAGGUUAGGGUUAAGGUUAGGGUUAGGGUUAGGGUUGAGGUAGAUGAGGGUUAUUUAUAAUUUAUAUAUGAGAAAAGAAUGGAAAGAAAUAGAAGGAAAUUGUGUUGAAAAUGGAGUAUUGAGUUUUGUAUCUAUCACGGUUUGGUAGUAGCACAACGUGACCCACCCACUAGAGGUGUCCAUAGACCGAGCCUGGUCGGGUUUAGGACAGGUUUGGGCUGGGCCCAACUAAAAUUUUAGGCUCGAUUGGUAGGCCCGGCCUGAAAAACAAGUUGAUAUUUUUGUCCAAGCCUGACUUAUAUAAUAUAUGCUUAACCCGGGUCCGGUCCGACCCUUUUUAAAAAAAAUAUUUUAUUACAUAAAAUAAAUUUUAAAAAAAUAUAUCAAAUAAACUAGAAAAUUAAAACAAAUAAUUCCCAAAAAUUAUUAAAUUGUAUUAACAAAUAUUAAAAAUUGGAUGAAAACUUAUUAAAAAGAGGCAAAUGAAUUACCACAAAGGCAUCUAAGUAAAAAAAAAAAAAACAUAAUUGAUGCAGUUCAAAUGUUCAAUACAAGCAUUUAAGCAUAAUACGAUAAUCGAUGCAAAUGAGUUACCACAAAAGGCAUCUAAGUAAAGAAAACAUAAUUGAUGCAGUUCAAAUGUUCAAUACAAGCAUCUAAGCAUAAUACCCAUAAUCAAUGUAAAUGAGUUACCACAAAGGAUUUAAGUAAAAAAAAAAAACCAUAAUUGUUGCAAUUCAAAUGUUUAAUACAAGCAUCUAAGCAUAAUACCAUGAUUGACGGAGUUCAAUACAAGCAUCAACCAAAUAAAUUUUUUCAAUCUGUAAAUAAAGCUGGAAAUUAGCUUGUGAAAUAAAAGGAAAAUUUAUAUAAAUUUGUGAAUUAAUAAAAAGUUUGUGGAAAUAAAUAAAUAAAUAAAGAUAAACAAUGAUCGAAAGUGUUUAAAUGUGAGUGGAAUCGUGAUAUUCUUAACAAUAUUGAUAAUGAUACAAAAAGUAUUUUCACUGUAUUUAAAUUUUAAAAAUGAUGUUUUUAUGAUAAUUGGAGACAAAUGAGCAACGACAAAGUUGUAGAAGGCAGAGAAGUGAAAACCAAUAGCAACACUAGCGAAGAAGCAAGAAGCGAAAACAACAAAAAGAAGAGAAACAACAAUGACGACAGUAGCGAAGAAACAAGUGAAAUGCAAUAGAAUGAGGAGAAGCAAGAAACGAGCGAAAAAGAUGCAAGAAGCAACACAAAAAUUUAGGAUUAGGGAUUAAGGGGAAAUAAGAAUUGAAAAGGGAAAGAGGAACAUCGAGACUGGGUCUACUGGGAAGUGGGAAUAAUAGUAAAAAUUUUAGGUUACUAAAAUCAGUCAGGCCAAGAAUAAAAAUUUAUUGCCCGAAGUCUGGCCCAUUUUUAAAACGAGCCUCAUUAUGAAAUCCAAGCCUAUUUUCCGAGCCUAUAUUUUUAUCUAGACCCUCUCAUGGACAUAAAUAGGUCUAUCACCCACCCAUGGACAAAUCUACCACCCACCCAUGACCAACUAUAUUUUGAAAGCUCUUUUUUCGUAUUAUUAUACUUGGAUAAGGUUUCAUUUACUGCUUUCAUUUAGGUAUAGGUUUGGUGUGGAAGCCAUUAUCCCAUUUAGAUGAAAACCAAAACUCGAUUAACCAUAUUAUUGUUGAAAUAAAUUUAAUUAAUUUUUAUUUUUGUGCGGUGCACGAUUUAAUUGCGUAUAUUAAUUUUAUAAUUAUUUAACAUUAAAUUUUGUUUAACAUCAUUAAUGAAUGUACUAAAAAAAUUAAUAAAUUGAGAAAGUAAUUUAAUUACAGAAUAUUUUAAAUGUAUAUAACUAAUUUAGAAUAUGUAUAUUAAUGUUAUUUAAUCUUUAAAAUCUUUAAUAUUAAAAUAAUACAAAAAUUCAUUAUAAUUUGAAUAACAAUAUAAUUCAGUAUAAUUUAAAUAAUAUUACUAAUAUUUUUAUAGGUUAUUUAUUUUAUAUAUAUCGGGAAAUUAUUUUAUUUUAAUGUUUUUAUACAAUAUUAAAUAUAGGAGAUAGGGGAAUUUGUUUUAAUAUUAAAAUUUGAUAUUUUAUAAUUAUCUUUGGUAAAUGCUAUUAAUAUAUGUCCUUUUAAAACUAUAUUUUAAAAUUAAUAAUUUUUUUAACAAUAUCACUAUAGGUUCUGAGAAUCUGAUCAUAUCUGCUUUUUUUAACACAAUACUUAGAACUACCCAUAGUCCCUCCCCAACCUCUAAAUAAGAGGAUAAUGCGUUUCAGCACACUCAAACUCACGUCUUCCUACAUUGGUAACAAUGCCUAUACCAAUUGAGCUAAUACCUAAUCAGCACAAAAAAAAUUAUAUAUUAAAAAAAACCCAAUCGGCAAGAGAUAAUAUAUUUUUAAAAAAAUUUAUAUUUAAUAUAUAAAAAAUGCUAAAAAAAAUAAAUUUAAAGCAUGAAAUAACUUGAAAAAUUAGAAGGCAAUAAGUAACAGAAUAAUUUAUUCAAUUUAAAAAUAAAUACUUGAAAUAGAGUAUAUUAUAUGUCAAAAAAUUGUAAUGUGAACAUAAAAAUUUAUUUUUUUAUUUAGUCACAACCUUAUAAUUUAUAUAUACCAUUUGAAUGUAUUUUAUUUAUAUGUAGAGAAAAAGGAUGAGAAUGUGGAAUUAAGAUGAAUUACCCAACUUAGAGAUAAUAUUGAAAUUAAUUAAUACAAUGAUUAUAAUUAUUAAAAGCCGUGAAAUAAUAUAUUAAUUAGUUGAUUUGCUCGAGAGGUUAAAAGGGGCAGUCGCUAAUAUUAUGUAAAAAGUAGAUAUAAAGUUAUUUAAUAUUUUAAAAUUUUUAUAUUUAAUUAUAAAUGAGAUAAUAUUAUAAAAUUAAUAGCACGUUUGAUUGGUUGUAAUAGCCAACCGAUUCCGUGUCUAUUCUGAGGGCAAUUGUUCUCUGUUAGUUUGGUUGGCCGAAUGCCCCUGAAUAACCACUCUUUACUUCAUCCUUUGAAAGUCUAUUUCAAGCAACUCAGAAUAUAUAUUUUUCUAUUAUUUCCAUUUUAACCUAACCAAAAGCCAAAAGGGAAAAGAAAAAAUGGUAAUAACAAAAAUCAUUCAACACAUCCCCCACAAGGGAAACUUGCUGCAAAUUGAAGAGAAACUCUAAUUGAGUUAAUUCAUAGUCAUUGCAGAAAUUGAAAAAAGAAUUUCUAAUUUUUGGAUUUUUGAGGGAAUGAGACACGAGAGAGGAGAGUAGGAGAGUGAACAUCGGCAAUUGAUGGCAACAUAUGACAACAUGCAAGAAGAAAUUUUCGACAUGAAAGCAGAUGAUGACGGCAAAAUAAAGUGGUGAAAACCACAAGUAAGUUUUGUAGAUCUGAACUUUUUUGAUAAAUUUUAGGGAAAAAAACUAAGAUGGGAAAGAAACAAAGAAAAAUUGGAUGAUUCUUCUGGGUUGAUCACAACUAGGGUGAUGGAAGAGGCAACUAUAUACGAUCAUUGUCAGAAUCUAGACUUUAAUAAAAUGUUUUGUGCCAAACAAUGACCAUUCCGUUUGAAUUAAAAAAGGAAACUAGAGAAGAUAAUUUUCUAAAAACAAAGAUGAACGGUUCAUCUUUCAAAACGAAAGGGAGAGUUUUAAUUUAAAAAAAAGGAAAUAAGAUGAUUUUUUGGAAAAAAAAAUUAACAGUUCAUCUUUAAAGUGUGAUGGAGAGAGAAUUUGAGAGAGGGGAAAGAAUUGUAUGAAAUAGUUACGUCACGUCAUUCGUGUCCCUUCUCAAUCAAUUAAUGACGUGUCAGCUAAUUUUUACAUGUCAUUUACACCUCAUUUAAUUAGAUUUUUUAAUCAUUUAAUGACAUGUCAGCUAAUUUUUACAUGACAUCUCUGCCCUGCUGCUAUUAUUUUUUUUUUUGGCAACUUCUUUUCUGCCUCUUCACAUCUCUUUGCAACCCCUGCUACUAUUAUUUUUUCUGGCAACUGCUUUGUUGCCUCUUCACGUAUCUCUGCAACCCCUGCUGCUAUUUUUUUCGACAACUGCUUUGCUCCCUCUUCACGUCUCUUUGCAACCCCUACUGAUUUGCUUUGUUUUUUUGGCGUGGCUGCUGCAAUUGAUUUUACAGGUGAGGGUUUUUUUUUUCUAUUAUGCUUAAAAUAGAUAGGAGAGCAAGAAAGUCAAUGCUAGUUCCUAACAAUUAAAUGAAUAGGUUAAACUAUUCUUGAGUAGAAAACAAAGAUCUAAUCUUUAGGUAGCUUUUGAUGUAAUACAAUAUAAUUAAAUAGUUUUAGAUAAAAUUAGUGAAUUCUAGCAUUAUGCACAACUGGAUCAACAUGUUAGGUUAUUCAAGGUUGGUUGGGUAAUUUAGUUUGAGAUGUUAAGUAUUUCCACUUGAUUUUCAUUUGUUUGAAAUAUAGUUCUAUUUAGAAUCUUUGAAAUAAUUGUGAUUUUUAAUAAUAAUGACUUAGCAUACUGAAUUUUUUUUAUAAUUUUCCAGCGGUGUUUUUAUUAGAUUUUAAUUGUUCUUUUAAAAUUUUUAAUAAUUUCCUGUAUUAUCAUAUUUUUUUAUUAUAUUUUAAAAUUUAUUCUCAGGUUUUGUUAAUUUAUAAUUUUCAUUUAUGGAGACAAAUCAAGAUGAAAUAGUUCAUCUUGUCGAGAAAAAAGAUAAUUCCGUCGAAGAAAUAAAAGUGGGACUGAAAGUGCAUUCUGAAGAAGGGGCUUAUAAUCUUUAUAAUCAGUUUGCUUUGAGUAAGGGGUUUAGUAUUCGAAGAGGAAAUAAGAGACGAAGCAUGACUGAACCUAUAAGACAACGUGAAUUUUUAUGCUCGAAAUCUGGGUAUCAUGAACACGAAGAUGUUGGCAAAGUGAAAAAAUUUAAUCUAGAGACAAGGAUAGGUUGUCAAGCUAAAAUUCGUUUUACAAUAGAAAAAUGUGUUUGGGUUGUUUCUUAACUUUAAUGAUUAUCAUAAUCACCACUUAGCAACUUCAGAAUAAAGAAUUAAUUUAAGAUCAGGAAGAAAAAUUUUGGAAGGACAUGGAGAUGUUAUUCGUUCAAUGGUUGCUAUAGGAAUUAAACAAACAAGUUCAUAUUCGUUUCUCAGGAAGGAAAUUGGGUUUGAAAAUAUUACAUUUACCAAACAAGAUUGUCAUAAUUUCUUGCAAAUUGAAAGAGAGAAACUAAUUGAAGCAGGGGAUGCAGAGAGCAUUAUCAAUUUUUUCAAAUAUAAGCAAGCUAAAUACCCUAUGCUUUUCUAUUCAGUGCAAGUGGACCAGAAUAAUCGACUAGCUAAUUUUUGUUUGGAGAGAUGGAAGAUCAAAUUGGAUUACGAUUGUUUUGGAGAUGUUCUUGUGUUUGAUACCACGUAUAGAACUAAUAAGUAUAAUUUGGUUUGUGCUCCAUUUGUCGGAAUCAACAAUCACUAGAAUAAUAUUUUGUUUGGUUGUGCUUUUUUAUCGGAUGAAACCAUUGAGUCAUUUACUUGGCUAUUUGAAAUAUUUUUAGAAGCCAUGAGCCAUCGACAACCGAAGAGUAUUUUCACUGAUCAAGAUCAAGCGAUGAUGAAAGCAGUAGAGAUUGUCCUCCCAAGAAUCUUCUCAUAGAUUAUACAUGUGACACAUUUCAAAUAAUGAAAAACAUCUUGCUAACCGUUUUGCCAAUGCUGAGUUCAAAGCACAAUUUAAUAAAUGCUUUGAAUAAGAUUACAGCUCUAUUUCAUUUCAUUCAACAAAAUAAUAGCAGCAGGGUUGUUAAAGGUACUUUGGUCAUUUCAAUUUUUUCUUUAUGUUAUUACAGAUCUAUUCAAUUCAACCAAACUUAAGAAUAAAAUUACACUUCCAUUCCAUUCAACUAAAUAAUUUGAUUAUUAAUUACAACUCUAUUUCAUUAAAGUCCUAUUCCAUUCCUCCCAACGUGAAGGAAAUGACAACUAAACCUGGAACUACAAAUAUGAUAUGCGUGACUCAUGAUUCAUUUAACGGCGUCGGGAGCUGAGUUGUUGAAUCAGAUCAUUCAAAUCACGGAAGGAUGAACCUCCUUCUUCAACAGCUCUUUUAGCCAUUUCUCCUAGUGCCUUGGCUCUGCUUCUCAUUUCCUCUGCUUUUUCACCCACC
rnacentral:lncRNA from 1 species